rnacentral:rRNA from 1 species
UACGAAGGGGGCUAGCGUUGCUCUGAAUCACUGGGCGUAAAGCGCACGUAGGCGGCUUUCUAAGUCAGGGGUGAAAUCCUGGAGCUCAACUCCAGAACUGCCUUUGAUACUGGAAAGCUUGAGUUCGGUAGAGGUGAGUGGAACUGCGAGUGUAGAGGUGAAAUUCGUAGAUAUUCGCAAGAACACCAGUGGCGAAGGCGGCUCACUGGCCCGAUACUGACGCUGAGGUGCGAAAGCGUGGGGAGCAAACAGG